CAUGGUACUGCAGUACUACUGGAGCUAGACCAUAGUGAAACUAACUGUACAUAGUACUGCAGUACUACUUGAACUAAACCUUAGUGAGACUAUCUGUACAACGUACUGCAGUACAACUUGAGCUAAGCCUUAGUGAAACCAGUGUAUAUGUGCAUGGUUCUGCUCCAUUACUAAGGCUUUGACACACUCACUGUUUAGGCAAUCUGUUUUUCUGUUUCCUCUGCCAUGACAAUUUACUUGCAAUACUUUGACAUUGUGUAUAGUUUGUAUGUGUGUAUACAAAGUAUGAACAUGUGCUGGAAUAAAUCUAACAUGAAACAAUGAG